rnacentral:rRNA from 1 species
UACGAAGGGUGCAAGCGUUACUCGGAAUUACUGGGCGUAAAGCGUGCGUAGGCGGUUUGUUAAGUCCGUUGUGAAAGCCCUGGGCUCAACCUGGGAAUUGCAGUGGAUACUGGCGAGCUAGAGUGCGGUAGAGGAUGGUGGAAUUCCCGGUGUAGCGGUGAAAUGCGUAGAGAUCGGGAGGAACACCGGUGGCGAAGGCGGCCUUCUGGACAGAAACUGACGCUGAGACGCGAAAGCGUGGGGAGCAAACAGG